CAGGGUUUCCCCUGAUGCUGCCAUCAAGGUGUGGGGCUGGGCUGCACCAUCUGAAGGCCUGACGCGGGCCGGGGGACCUCCUUCCAAGGUGGCUGGAGGCCUCGGUCCUCGACACAGGGGACCUCUCCACGGGACCACUCCUGACAUGGCUCCCAAGGUCCCCCCAGAGCUGGUGAUCCAAGAGGAAGAGCAAUGGGGUGGCCACAAUGCCUUGGUGACUGUCUCGCAAGUGACACAUGGUCCUUCCCACUGUUUUCUAUUUGCUGGAAGUGAAUCACUCAUUCCGGCCCACCCUCGGUGAGAGGGGAAUUAGGAGGUGGAGGGUGUGGACGAAUUAGUGGACGUGUCUUCAAGCCACCACAGCCAGCCGGGACUGGAAACAGCUGAGCGUGGCCAGCCUGUGUCCGCUGGGGCUUCGUGGAGGCUUCCAGCAAGGGGGUACAGCCGAGCUGCUCCGGAAGAAGGCAGGGGCCCACAGGGGUGUGGGUGAGGGCACGUCGCCAGCUGGGCCAGAGCACACAAGUGCCUGGGAAGCCCCCCGAGGCCAGGCUCACCGGGACGCCCCUGCUGCCGGACGGACGAAGAUUCUCAGGAACACAGAUGGGGUGAGAGAGGCCUGCCUGCCACCCUCCACCUGGCCCCCCGGCCCCGUGAGGGGUACACCCCGGGGGGACGCCUGGCUCCCAGCCAGCCCCUCAUGCUUCCCGCCACGUGGCAUAGAAGUCAGGCUCCCAAGGGGGCUGAGGACAGAGACUCCGAAGGACAGGACCGUCUCUCAGGAGGACAGAGCCCGAAGCUGCAGGAAACGAAACAGAAGAGACACAGAAACCGACAGCUGACGUCAUAAUGCAGCUCCAAAAUAUGGGCAUCGCGUCCUCAUUUACUUGGCCAGGACUUCCUCGUUUUCACUUUCUGGUCUCUUCCGAACUGCCACCGGAGCCCCUGGAGGUCAGGGUUCAUGCCACCUGCCCCAAGCAUGGCAUUAACUUCAAGGCACGUGCAUUCUCCUAAAAAAAAAAAAAAUUAAAUAAAAAAUAUGUAAGGCAAGGCGCCUGGGUGGCACAGUCGGUUAAGUGAUUAAGCAAGCAUCCCACUCUUGGUUUCGGCUCAGGUCGUGAUCCCAGAGUCAUGCCCUGCAUCGGGCUUCACACUCAGCGCAGUCAGAGCCUGCUUGAGAUUCUCGCCCUCUCCUUCUGUCCCUCCCCCUGCUUGUGCUAACAAAAUAAAUAAAUUCCUUGUCCAGUGUUCUCAACUUUCUGAUUUACUGCCCUGUUAAGGUACUCGACUUUGUUCUCAAACCUCCAAAACCAGGGGUAGAUGCUGCAGGCAUUUUGCUUUGCUCCCUGAGGCACUGGCUCCCAGGGAACAACUUGUUCCUAGGGGUGAGUCACCUGGAUAUAGUCUAAUUGUCAUGCUUGGGAGGCCUCCAGCUAGGGGAGUGCUCCCAUAGCCAAUUCCUGCCCGUUUUGGGUCUGGGCUUCUCCUGGGGCCUACAUGCUAUUGCUUUUCUGGUUCCUUGAGGUCAGAGGCUGACGAUAUUCAAACCCAGGCCUCCAGACCCCUAGUUCAGGGCCCACCAGCCAUCACGAGCACUGGACUAAGAGUCAGCAGACCUGGG
rnacentral:lncRNA from 1 species